rnacentral:rRNA from 1 species
CCUACGGGCGGCAGCAGUGAGGAAUAUUGGUCAAUGGUCGGGAGACUGAACCAGCCAAGCCGCGUGAGGGAUGAAGGUACAGAGUAUCGUAAACCUCUUUUGUCAGGGAACAAAGGCGGGGACGUGUCCCCGGAUGAGUGUACCUGAAGAAAAAGCAUCGGCUAACUCCGUGCCAGCAGCCGCGGUAAUACGGAGGAUGCGAGCGUUAUCCGGAUUUAUUGGGUGUAAGGGGUGCGCAGGCGGUCUGUUAAGUCAGCGGUAAAAGCCCGGGGCUCACCCCCGGCCCGCCGUUGAAACUGGCAGUCUCGAGUUGGAGAGAAGUAUGCGGAAUGCGCGGUGUAGCGGUGAAAUGCAUAGAUAUUGCGCAGAACUCCGAUUGCGAAGGCAGCAUGCCGGCUCCACACUGACGCUGAGGCACGAAAGCGUGGGUAUCGAACAGGAUUAGAUACCCCAGUAGUC